rnacentral:rRNA from 1 species
GGGUUGUGAGGUUAAGCGACUAAGCGUACACGGUGGAUGCCCUGGCAGUCAGAGGCGAUGAAGGACGUGCUAAUCUGCGAAAAGCGUCGGUAAGGUGAUAUGAACCGUUAUAACCGGCGAUGUCCGAAUGGGGAAACCCAGUGCAAUUCGUUGCACUAUCGUUAACUGAAUACAUAGGUUAACGAGGCGAACCGGGGGAACUGAAACAUCUAAGUACCCCGAGGAAAAGAAAUCAACCGAGAUUCCCCCAGUAGCGGCGAGCGAACGGGGAGCAGCCCAGAGUCUGAAUCAGCUUGUGUGUUAGUGGAACGGUCUGGAAAGUCCGACGGUACAGGGUGAUAGUCCCGUACACCAAAAUGCACAGGCUGUGAACUCGAAGAGUAGGGCGGGACACGUGGUAUCCUGUCUGAAUAUGGGGGGACCAUCCUCCAAGGCUAAAUACUCCUGACUGACCGAUAGUGAACCAGUACCGUGAGGGAAAGGCGAAAAGAACCCCGGCGAGGGGAGUGAAAAAGAACCUGAAACCGUGUACGUACAAGCAGUGGGAGCACCUUCGGGUGUGACUGCGUACCUUUUGUAUAAUGGGUCAGCGACUUAUAUUCUGUAGCAAGGUUAACCGUAUAGGGGAGCCGCAGGGAAACCGAGUCUUAACUGGGCGUUAAGUUGCAGGGUAUAGACCCGAAACCCGGUGAUCUAGCCAUGGGCAGGUUGAAGGUUGGGUAACACUAACUGGAGGACCGAACCGACUAAUGUUGAAAAAUUAGCGGAUGACUUGUGGCUGGGGGUGAAAGGCCAAUCAAACCGGGAGAUAGCUGGUUCUCCCCGAAAGCUAUUUAGGUAGCGCCUCGUGAAUUCAUCUUCGGGGGUAGAGCACUGUUUCGGCUAGGGGGUCAUCCCGACUUACCAACCCGAUGCAAACUACGAAUACCGAAGAAUGUUAUCACGGGAGACACACGGCGGGUGCUAACGUCCGUCGUGAAGAGGGAAACAACCCAGACCGCCAGCUAAGGUCCCAAAGUCAUGGUUAAGUGGGAAACGAUGUGGGAAGGCACAGACAGCCAGGAUGUUGGCUUAGAAGCAGCCAUCAUUUAAAGAAAGCGUAAUAGCUCACUGGUCGAGUCGGCCUGCGCGGAAGAUGUAACGGGGCUAAACCAUGCACCGAAGCUGCGGCAGCGACACUAUGUGUUGUUGGGUAGGGGAGCGUUCUGUAAGCCUGCGAAGGUGUGCUGUGAGGCAUGCUGGAGGUAUCAGAAGUGCGAAUGCUGACAUAAGUAACGAUAAAGCGGGUGAAAAGCCCGCUCGCCGGAAGACCAAGGGUUCCUGUCCAACGUUAAUCGGGGCAGGGUGAGUCGACCCCUAAGGCGAGGCCGAAAGGCGUAGUCGAUGGGAAACAGGUUAAUAUUCCUGUACUUGGUGUUACUGCGAAGGGGGGACGGAGAAGGCUAUGUUAGCCGGGCGACGGUUGUCCCGGUUUAAGCAUGUAGGCUGGUUAUCCAGGCAAAUCCGGAUAAUCAAGGCUGAGGUGUGAUGACGAGGCACUACGGUGCUGAAGUAACAAAUGCCCUGCUUCCAGGAAAAGCCUCUAAGCAUCAGGUAACAUUAAAUCGUACCCCAAACCGACACAGGUGGUCAGGUAGAGAAUACCAAGGCGCUUGAGAGAACUCGGGUGAAGGAACUAGGCAAAAUGGUGCCGUAACUUCGGGAGAAGGCACGCUGGUGUGUAGGUGAAGUCCCUGCGGAUGGAGCUGAGACCAGUCGAAGAUACCAGCUGGCUGCAACUGUUUAUUAAAAACACAGCACUGUGCAAACACGAAAGUGGACGUAUACGGUGUGACGCCUGCCCGGUGCCGGAAGGUUAAUUGAUGGGGUUAUCCGUAAGGAGAAGCUCUUGAUCGAAGCCCCGGUAAACGGCGGCCGUAACUAUAACGGUCCUAAGGUAGCGAAAUUCCUUGUCGGGUAAGUUCCGACCUGCACGAAUGGCGUAAUGAUGGCCAGGCUGUCUCCACCCGAGACUCAGUGAAAUUGAACUCGCUGUGAAGAUGCAGUGUACCCGCGGCAAGACGGAAAGACCCCGUGAACCUUUACUAUAGCUUGACACUGAACAUUGAGCCUUGAUGUGUAGGAUAGGUGGGAGGCUUUGAAGCGUGGACGCCAGUCUGCGUGGAGCCAACCUUGAAAUACCACCCUUUAAUGUUUGAUGUUCUAACGUUGGCCCCUUACCGGGGUUGCGGACAGUGUCUGGUGGGUAGUUUGACUGGGGCGGUCUCCUCCCAAAGCGUAACGGAGGAGCACGAAGGUUAGCUAAUCCUGGUCGGACAUCAGGAGGUUAGUGCAAUGGCAUAAGCUAGCUUGACUGCGAGCGUGACGGCGCGAGCAGGUGCGAAAGCAGGUCAUAGUGAUCCGGUGGUUCUGAAUGGAAGGGCCAUCGCUCAACGGAUAAAAGGUACUCCGGGGAUAACAGGCUGAUACCGCCCAAGAGUUCAUAUCGACGGCGGUGUUUGGCACCUCGAUGUCGGCUCAUCACAUCCUGGGGCUGAAGUAGGUCCCAAGGGUAUGGCUGUUCGCCAUUUAAAGUGGUACGCGAGCUGGGUUUAGAACGUCGUGAGACAGUUCGGUCCCUAUCUGCCGUGGGCGCUGGAGAAUUGAGGGGGGCUGCUCCUAGUACGAGAGGACCGGAGUGGACGCAUCACUGGUGUUCGGGUUGUCAUGCCAAUGGCACUGCCCGGUAGCUAAAUGCGGAAGAGAUAAGUGCUGAAAGCAUCUAAGCACGAAACUUGCCCCGAGAUGAGUUCUCCCUGAGACUUUAAGUCUCCUGAAGGAACGUUAAAGACGAUGACGUUGAUAGGCCGGGUGUGUAAGCGCAGCGAUGCGUUGAGCUAACCGGUACUAAUGAACCGUGAGGCUUAACCUUACAACGCCGAAG